GAUGAACGCUGGCGGCGUGCUUAACACAUGCAAGUCGAACGGAAAGGCCUCUGCUUGCAGGGGUACUCGAGUGGCGAACGGGUGAGUAACACGUGGGUGAUCUGCCCUGCACUUCGGGAUAAGCCUGGGAAACUGGGUCUAAUACCGGAUAGGACAAUGGUUUGGAUGCUGUUGUGGAAAGUUUUUCGGUGUGGGAUGAGCUCGCGGCCUAUCAGCUUGUUGGUGGGGUAAUGGCCUACCAAGGCGUCGACGGGUAGCCGGCCUGAGAGGGUGUACGGCCACAUUGGGACUGAGAUACGGCCCAGACUCCUACGGGAGGCAGCAAUGGAGAAUAUUGCACAAUGGGCGCAAGCCUGAUGCAGCGACGCCGCGGGGGGGAUGACGGCCUUCGGGUUGGAAACUCGUUUCGCUAGGGACGAAGCGUUUUUGUGACGGUACCUGGAGAAGAAGCACCGGCUAACUACGU
rnacentral:rRNA from 1 species